rnacentral:rRNA from 1 species
UACGUAGGUGGCAAGCGUUGUCCGGAUUUAUUGGGUUUAAAGGGUGCGUAGGCGGCAUUUUAAGUCAGUGGUGAAAGCCGAUCGCUUAACGAUCGAACUGCCAUUGAUACUGCAAUGCUUGAGUAUAGAUGAGGUAGGCGGAAUUGACAGUGUAGCGGUGAAAUGCAUAGAUAUUGUCAAGAACACCAAUUGCGAAGGCAGCUUACUAAGUUAUAACUGACGCUGAGGCACGAAAGUGCGGGGAUCAAACAGG